CCCCUUGUCGUCCCCAGCAGCCCGACAAGCCCCAUUUUCCAUUUUUUUUUCUUUCUUCUUCUUCCUCCUCCCAGUCCGGUCGCCCACAACCUGCGCCCAGGAUGGUCCGGAUCUGCCCCACACUCCUCCAAACCUCGGAUCUCCUCUCUCUUUUUCCUGAAUCAGUGGUAUUUCCUCUUUUUUGUUUAAUUUUUUUUCUUCUUCUUCUUCCUGUUAACCC
rnacentral:lncRNA from 1 species